rnacentral:rRNA from 1 species
UUGGAGGGCAAGUCUGGUGCCAGCAGCCGCGGUAAUUCCAGCUCCAAUAGCGUAUAUUAAAGUUGUUGCAGUUAAAAAGCUCGUAGUUGAAUUUCGGGGUCAGCAGGUUGGUCGUGCCAAUGGUAUGCACUGGCCUUGCUGAUUCCUCCCUCUUGAUGAGCCGUAAUGCCAUUAAUUUGGUGUUGCGGGGAAUCAGGACUGUUACUUUGAAAAAAUUAGAGUGUUUAAAGCAGGCAAGCGCUUGAAUACAUUAGCAUGGAAUAAUGAAAUAGGACGUUCGAUCCUAUUUUGUUGGUUUCUAGGAUUGACGUAAUGAUUAAUAGGGAUAGUUGGGGGCAUUAGUAUUCAAUUGUCAGAGGUGAAAUUCUUGGAUUUAUUGAAGACUAACUACUGCGAAAGCAUUUGCCAAGGAUGUUUUCAUUAAUCAAGAACGAAAGUUAGGGGAUCGAAGACGAUCAGAUACCAUCGUAGUCUUAACCAUAAACUAUGCCGACUAGGGAUCGGAUGAUGUUAAUUUUUUAAUGACUCAUUCGGCGCCUUACGGGAAAC